rnacentral:hammerhead_ribozyme from 1 species
AAGCGAAACCGCCCCCGGUGUUCAUACCGGAGGGCGGUCAUGCCAGCGUGGUAGCUGGUGUCUGAUGAGCAGCCAAGG